AUUGAACGCUGGCGGCAGGCUUAACACAUGCAAGUCGAGCGGGGUGAAGUACUUCGGUACUGAUCCUAGCGGCGGACGGGUGAGUAAAGCUUAGGAAUCUGCCAUUUAGUGGGGGACAACAUUCCGAAAGGGAUGCUAAUACCGCAUACGUCCUACGGGAGAAAGCAGGGGAUCUUCGGACCUUGCGCUAAAUGAUGAGCCUAAGUCGGAUUAGCUAGUUGGUGGGGUAAAGGCCUACCAAGGCGACGAUCUGUAGCGGGUCCGAGAGGAUGAUCCGCCACACUGGGACUGAGACACGGCCCAGACUCCUACGGGAGGCAGCAGUGGGGAAUAUUGGACAAUGGGCGGAAGCCUGAUCCAGCCAUGCCGCGUGUGUGAAGAAGGCCUUUUGGUUGUAAAGCACUUUAAGCGAGGAGGAGGCUACUUAGAUUAAUACUCUAGGAUAGUGGACGUUACUCGCAGAAUAAGCACCGGCUAACUCUGUGCCAGCCGCCGCCGUAACAC
rnacentral:rRNA from 1 species